AGAGGGAAGAGUAUCCUUCAGCCAUUUAGAUCAAAGUUCAAACGUGAAAGAAAACACGCCCAUGAACUCAAAUUCACACCUGGCCUGAAAAACCUCUCCUCCGUCGUGCCGGAGGUCACCUUCAGCGACGACGGAAAGCCAAACCAAGAAAAUCAUACAUCACCCUCUUUGUUUAUUCACCCUCAACUCAAAUCCAUAACCAAUUUUAAUUAAUUCCAACCCUAGAGUCCUAACCGAAUUGAUCUUGUCCAAGAACCCUAAGUACAAUUUGAUAAAUUAAAUCCUCAUCCUAAGGAAUCAAAGCGCAAGGGAUUGGGGCUUUGAUUCCUUGCAACAUAAGCUACAUCACAGUAACAAUUUCAAAUGAAAUGGUGAAUCAAAGACCUACCCUUUCCGGUGAAGAUGAAGAUGUCGACGCAAUUCCGGGGAUUUCUUGUUUCUAAUCUUAUUUUCCUGCUUUUGAUUUUACAGUCUUCUUCUUCUUCUCCUUCUUCUCUUCUUGAGCUCUACUGAGUUUGUGUUGAUGUUUUGUGUGGAAUCUUCGAGGGUGAGGUUGAUUGAAUUACAUGUAUUGGGAGGGUGAGAAAUGAAUGAUUUUUUAAGAGUGUGAAAUUUAAGAUUGAAUGUGAUGGUGAUGAAUGAUUCUGAGUCUCAGUGAUGAGUUGAAGAGUGAAAGUGAUGUUGAUGAGUGGAAUGUUGAGUGAUGAUGAAUGAUUCAAAGCUUAAGUGAAUUGAACAGUGAGUGUGAUUUUGAUCAAUGUAAUCCAGCUAGUUUGAUAAGGGAAUGAUGGUGAGAUUUAUAGGGGUUAAGAGUUGGUUGAGAGUUUGUUAUGGUUGGGAUUGGUGAAGCGAAAGCAAUUAGUGAAAUGGAAUUUUGUUAGGUUUACUUGGCCUGACUAUAACUUCAAGAUGAAUGAAAUAAGCAUGGUUAAGAAAGCACAAUAUGGAGAAAAAAUGGUUUGCUUGCACAUGAAACAAGCUUGUCAUGAAAGCCUAAUGAGAAGAUGUAAAGGAUGGAAGAAUGAAGAAACAAUGGAUAUUAGGGUUAGGAACAUGAAAAUUGGGUCAGUUGACUUUGGUAAACUGGUUGACCAAAAAUUCAACAAUUUACCAUAAUUCAACUGUAGGUCAAACUUUAUAUUUUUGUAUGAUUCUUGUAAAUUGAUACUUGUAUGAAUGAGUUUACGUUUUGAACGCAAAUAACCAUUUAGAUUCAAUGAGACAUGCUUUUGAUUUCAAGUUA